AAACGGCGUUAUAUUGCUAAAGUGUUACUGUAUUUGCAGGUUGUGGAAGGUCCCCGCAACGUAAUCAGAAUGAGCGGUUAAAAGGAACCUAAUCUUAAGUGAUACCCAGAUAUGGAUUGAAGUCUAGAAAUUCCUCUUGCAAUUGGAGUGGGUUACCUGCAUAUAUUACAGAAUCAGGCGAGUGGUGCCAAUGCAGAUUAGAAUGGUAUGAAAUCCAGUGACUGACUGUAGUAAAGGACUUAUGAAGUGAUGGUUGUUCUUUGUAAUCUGUGAUGGUCUUUGCCACUGGAUUCCUCAGUGAUGUUCAGCACCUGGUCUUUGCCAUCUAGCACUGGUCUUUGCCAUUGGAUUCUUCAGUGAUGUCAUCUAGGACCAUUGGUUUAACACAACCUGAAAAUAAGUUAUCAAUAUUAGAUAAUGUACUAUUAUGUAUACAUUAGUUUAAUAAAUGAUUAUUGAAA
rnacentral:lncRNA from 1 species